rnacentral:rRNA from 1 species
GAUGAACGCUAGCGGCAGGCUUAAUACAUGCAAGUCGUGGGGCAGCAGGACUGUAGCAAUACAGUUGCUGGCGACCGGCAAACGGGUGCGGAACACGUACGCAACUUACCCUGAACUGGGGGAUAGCCCGGGGAAACCCGGAUUAAUACCCCGUAAUAUAAUGGAGUGGCAUCACUUUAUUAUUAAAGCUCCGGCGGUUCGGGAUGGGCGUGCGGCUGAUUAGGUAGUUGGUUGAGGUAACGGCUCACCAAGCCUACGAUCAGUAACUGGUGUGAGAGCACGACCAGUCACACGGGCACUGAGACACCGGCCCGACACCUACGGGAGGCAGCAGUAAGGAAUAUUAGGCAAUGGAGGCAACUCUGACCCAGCCAUGCCGCGUGGAGAAUGAAGGCCCUCUGUGUUGUAAACUUCUUUUAUAGGGGAAGAAACCUGUGUAUUCUUACGCAGUUGACGGUACCCUAGGAAUAAGCACCGGCUAACUCCGUG